GCCCGCGGUGGCUCAGAUGGAUAGAGCGUCUGCCAUGUAAGCAGAAGAUCCCGGGCUCGAGUCCCGGUCGGGGCA
rnacentral:tRNA from 1 species